GUUGUGUAGUUCUGUAUGACAUUAGUCACGUUCACUUAAAGAACUAUUGGAAGGCAUGUCUAUACUGUAGUGUAAGCCCAUACUCGGGCUUCUAUCUAAAGCCUCCUUCUGUCUGCACACAAAUCUCUUGGACUCGGGCUUGCACCUAGGGUCCUAGGACCCCACAAGUUUGGAGGGGUCAAGCCAAGACCCAGGGUUCAAACCUGGAUAAACACAGUCUCCCCUGGACUUGGGUCCUGAGAGUCUGCAAAAAGUAGCCCACAAUUCCUUGGGCUGACAUUCUUUGAGAGAGAGGAAAAUCGACUUGAGGGAAACAGGAGCAACCCCCUUGUUCUAGUACAGCAGCUCAGCAAGUUGGCAUUUAGCCCUUCCGUUUUAUUCUGACCACCGAACUGCAAACACAACUUUGGAGAACCUUCUGCAUUUGCAGUGGACGCUGACCAGGAGUAGUCCUUUGCAAAACGCACUGCUUCAUGGUUGUGGGAGCACAGGCAGAUUUUGGUUAAUCUCUCCAGUGAGUCCAGCCAAACAGUGGAUUUUAGUAAGAGUACAAGGAAUGACCACGUAUAACACCAAAUAGCGAAGAAGCUGGCAGCGUUGGAAAUUUACUGGACCAGUGACCAGUGCAGAGAGUGAAUUAAGUGACUCAAGACGGAGUACCAGAAAAAAUAGCAACAAGAGCUGCAUGUCAGGCAACCCGCCAACAGUCAUGCCUGUUUUAUGAUGAGUUUGAUCAGAUGCUAUGUGCUGCGUUGAGCAUGGAGCCAAUGGUGGUGCAUGACGACUUGGUCAGCCAAGAUGGCAACCUACGUGUCCCAGCAUGGAAACAAAAUGAAGUCAGCAAAGUGAUUGCUGCUGACACCGGUUCAGAGGAAGCUUUGCCACAGAAGCAGCUGCAGCUCAUCUCAGGGCUGUACUCAGAAGAGGUUUUUUUGCCCCAUAGAGAAUCGGCCUGCCAUGGAGCCUGGUAAGUUUCCAGCUCCAUUUUAAUGUUUAUUAAUAUAGAAAUGGGAGCGAUUUCUAUUCUAUGAAUGAAUGCAAAAGUUAGUGCUAGCCCUGGGUAGCGGUGUGUAUCCACUAAUGGCAGAUGGUAUGUCAGCGCCUUGGUGUUCACCACCAAAUGGAAUUCAAAAUGGAGACCAUGAAAUGCAAACAGUUAAAAACACAUUUAAACGUGAGUUGUUUAUGGAAAGCCACACAUUUUUGAUAGCACAUUCCUCUUGCUAAAAAUAACAACUUUGCAUUGCCAUCCCCAUAAGUACACUGCUCUGUAACCACUCAACAGUGUAAUGAGGCACCUGGAAACAGUGAACUGGGGGGAUUAUGAAAAUGUGUUCCAUUUACAAAUCUGGUCCAUUUCAGUUACAUGUAGUUCAUGCAGUCCAUAGGUGGCUAAAUCAUUUCUCCCAAAUACGACUGGGGUUUUAAGUUUGGUCCAGAAAUGUGCCGGGGAUAUGGGAAUGGCUGUGGAGUUCUGGGUAUUUUCAUGCAGUAAUAACAGGCUCAGUCAUGUGGAUGCUUACACAGCAUCUUGUUGAUUCCCUCAUGAAUUCUGACCCAAUCCCAGGUGCCGAUAGCUGCAAACUUUUCCCAUAGCAGGAACUCCAGAUAGGUAGUCAUGUUUUGGGGAAGGGCAUAUUUUCCAGGGCCAUUUUGGUAGCUGACCAUCCCACUCCACUCGUAGAGGCGCUGUUCAGUCACUACUUUGCAUAUUUCAUUGGCAGGCAUUGCUGGUUUCCCAUGGGCAGCUUGCUGUAACACCUCUUAUUUGCCAGUUGGGGACCACAAGAACUGGUAUGUCCUCCAAAAUGUGGAAUGCCUGAAAUGAUAGAGCAACCUUUUGUAGAAGAGCCACUAACGUCCCUGUUGCCCUCCCACAGCCCAAGUUGUUCUGCAAUUCUUGAGGCCCCUCAACUUCUACAGGCUAGUACUUCUACAGCGCAGAAGAAGCCUGUGUCAGUGUACCUUCAUGGACCGUUCAGAAAGGAAGCAUUUCUGUGAUGAACUUAUAGUUGUAGUUCUGGACAAGGCCAACAAGUAGCUCCAUUACCUAAGAGAGAGGGACUUAUGGCUAGAGGAAAGGCAUGACGAGAGGCAAGCAGAAAGGUUCAGGCUGGCUGUACAGCUUGAGGACAGGGUUGCAGCACAGGAGCUGACAUUUGCUUCCUAGUUCCUAAAAAAGAACAGCAGCUAAGGGAGGAUGACAGAACUCAGCAGAAAGAACUAUUUGAAUGGCUGCUGUCACUAAUGUCCGCAUGAGUACUGGCUCCUGCUGCACCCGCAUCAUGGCUUGAGUCCCCUUUGCAGUACUCUGUGCUGCAGGCCAGGAGCAGCUUGGACAACUCUAUGACUGGGUGGCUCAUGCAGUAGGGCCCCAUCUGUGGCUGGGCAGGGCAACAGUGCCCCAGUCAGUCCUCUGUACUGACAUCCUCCCCCAUGGAUGCCUUUACUGCCCUCCCCAGUGUCUAGCGCUUGGCAAACGUGGGAAGGGAAAGGAGAUUGGGGAACUGGGGGACAUGCAACAGUAGGGGGUUUCUGUCUUGUAGAUGGUUUCACUGUUUGUUUGUAAGGUUCUGUUACUGGUGUUUUGGUGUGGUGGCCUGCCUGGCAAUGUGUUAAUGUUGUAUUUUUCUAAUAAAUGUUUCCUGAUAAAGCUUU